GCUCAUAUAGUUUAAAUAGAAUAUAACGUUGAAGCUGUUAUGGUAGGCUAAGUCUUUUGGGCA
rnacentral:tRNA from 2 species